rnacentral:rRNA from 1 species
CGGCAGGCCUAUCACAUGCAAGUCGAGCGGAUGAGGGUAGCUUGCUACUGAUUCAGCGGCGGACGGGUGAGUAAUGCCUAGGAAUCUGCCCGAUAGUGUGGGACAACGUUUCGAAAGGAACGCUAAUACCGCAUACGUCCUACGGGAGAAAGCAGGGGACCUUCGGGCCUUGCGCUAUCGGAUGAGCCUAGGUCGGAUUAGCUAGUUGGUGGGGUAAAGGCUCACCAAGGCGACGAUCCGUAACUGGUCUGAGAGGAUGAUCAGUCACACUGGAACUGAGACACGGUCCAGACUCCUACGGGAGGCAGCAGUGGGGAAUAUUGGACAAUGGGCGAAAGCCUGAUCCAGCCAUGCCGCGUGUGUGAAGAAGGUCUUCGGAUUGUAAAGCACUUUAAGCUGGGAGGAAGGGCAGUAAGUUAAUACCUUGCUGUUUUGACGUUACCAGCAGAAUAAGCACCGGCUAACUUCGUGCCAGCAGCCGCGGUAAUACGAAGGGUGCAAGCGUUAAUCGGAAUUACUGGGCGUAAAGCGCGCGUAGGUGGUUCAGCAAGUUGGAUGUGAAAGCCCCGGGCUCAACCUGGGAACUGCAUCCAAAACUACUGGGCUAGAGUAUGGUAGUGGGUGGUGGAAUUUCCUGUGUAGCGGUGAAAUGCGUAGAUAUAGGAAGGAACACCAGUGGCGAAGGCGACCACCUGGACUAAUACUGACACUGAGGUGCGAAAGCGUGGGGAGCAAACAGGAUUAGAUACCCUGGUAGUCCACGCCGUAAACGAUGUCAACUAGUUGUUGGGUUCCUUGAGGACUUAGUAACGAAGCUAACGCGAUAAGUUGACCGCCUGGGGAGUACGGCCGCAAGGUUAAAACUCAAAUGAAUUGACGG